rnacentral:rRNA from 1 species
AGUCGAGCGAGCGGAACUAACAGAUUUACUUCGGUAAUGACGUUAGGAAAGCGAGCGGCGGAUGGGUGAGUAACACGUGGGGAAUCUGCCCCAUAGUCUGGGAUACCACUUGGAAACAGGUGCUAAUACCGGAUAAGAAAGCAGAUCGCAUGAUCAGCUUUUAAAAGGCGGCGUAAGCUGUCGCUAUGGGAUGGCCCCGCGGUGCAUUAGCUAGUUGGUAAGGUAAAGGCUUACCAAGGCGAUGAUGCAUAGCCGAGUUGAGAGUCUGAUCGGCCACAUUGGGACUGAGACACGGCCCAAACUCCUACGGGAGGCAGCAGUAGGGAAUCUUCCACAAUGGACGCAAGUCUGAUGGAGCAACGCCGCGUGAGUGAAGAAGGUUUUCGGAUCGUAAAGCUCUGUUGUUGGUGAAGAAGGAUAGAGGUAGUAACUGGCCUUUAUUUGACGGUAAUCAACCAGAAAGUCACGGCUAACUACGUGCCAGCAGCCGCGGUAAUACGUAGGUGGCAAGCGUUGUCCGGAUUUAUUGGGCGUAAAGCGAGCGCAGGCGGAAGAAUAAGUCUGAUGUGAAAGCCCUCGGCUUAACCGAGGAACUGCAUCGGAAACUGUUUUUCUUGAGUGCAGAAGAGGAGAGUGGAACUCCAUGUGUAGCGGUGGAAUGCGUAGAUAUAUGGAAGAACACCAGUGGCGAAGGCGGCUCUCUGGUCUGCAACUGACGCUGAGGCUCAAAAGCAUGGGUAGCGAACAGGAUUAGAUACCCUGGUAGUCCAUGCCGUANACGAUGAGUGCUAAGUGUUGGGAGGUUUCCGCCUCUCAGUGCUGCAGCUAACGCA